rnacentral:rRNA from 1 species
GACGAACGCUGGCGGCGUGCUUACCACAUGCAAGUCGAACAGUGGCGAACGGGUGAGUAACACGUGAGUAACCUGCCCUCCACUUUGGGAUAACUCCGAGAAAUCGGGGCUAAUACUGGAUAGUGGGGGAUGGGCUCGCGGCCUAUCAGUUUGUUGGUGGGUUAUGGGUCACCAAGGCGUGACGGGUAGCCGGCCUGGGCGGGCGACCGGCCACACUGGGACUGAGAUACUGCGCAGAAUGGUACGGGAGGCAGCAGUGGGGAAUAUUGCACAAUUGGCGAAAGUCGGAUGCAGCGACGCCGCGUGGGGGAUGACGGCCUUCGGGUUGUAAACCUCUGUCAGCAAGGAAGCGGUACUUGCAGAAGAAGCGCCGGCUAACUACGUGCCAGCAGCCGCGGUAAUAC